rnacentral:rRNA from 1 species
AUACCGGCCAGAGACCGAUAGCGCACAAGUAGAGUGAUCGAAAGAUGAAAAGUACUUUGAAAAGAGGGUUAAAUAGCACGUGAAAUUGUUGAAAGGGAAGCGUUUGCGACCAGACUUUUUCCAGGCGGAUCAUCCGGUGUUCUCACCGGUGCACUUCGCCUGGUUUAGGCCAGCAUCGGUUCUCUUAGGGGGAUAAAGGCCUGGGGAACGUAGCUCCUUCGGGAGUGUUAUAGCCCCUUGCGUAAUACCCUUCGGGGGACCGAGGAACGCGCAUCUGCAAGGAUGCUGGCGUAAUGGUCGCCGACGACCCGUCUUGAAACACGGAC